AACGAACGCUGGCGGCAGGCCUAACACAUGCAAGUCGAGCGAAGCCUUCGGGCUUAGCGGCGGACGGGUGAGUAACGCGUGGGAACGUGCCCUUUGCUACGGAAUAGCCCCGGGAAACUGGGAGUAAUACCGUAUGUGCCCUUCGGGGGAAAGAUUUAUCGGCAAAGGAUCGGCCCGCGUUGGAUUAGGGAGUUGGUGGGGUAAUGGCCUACCAAGCCGACGAUCCAUAGCUGGUUUGAGAGGAUGAUCAGCCACACUGGGACUGAGACACGGCCCAGACUCCUACGGGAGGCAGCAGUGGGGAAUCUUAGACAAUGGGGGAAACCCUGAUCUAGCCAUGCCGCGUGAUCGAUGAAGGCCUUAGGGUUGUAAAGAUCUUUCAGUGGGGAAGAUAAUGACUGUACCCACAGAAAAAGCCCCGGCUAACUCCGUGCCAGCCGCCGCGGUAAAAC
rnacentral:rRNA from 1 species